CAGCCGCCGCGGUAAUACGUAGGGGGCAAGCGUUAUCCGGAAUAACUGGGCGUAAAGGGUGCGCAGGUGGUUUAACAAGUUAGUGGUGAAAGGCAUAGGCUCAACCAAUGUAAGCCAUUAAAACUGUUUAACUUGAGUGCAGGAGAGGAAAGUGGAACUCCUAGUGUAGCGGUGAAAUGCGUAGAUAUUAGGAAGAACACCAGUGGCGAAGGCGACUUUCUGGACGAAAACUGACGCUGAGGCGCGAAAGCCAGGGGAGCGAACGGGAUUAGAUACCCCUGUAGUCCCUGUCUCUUAUACA
rnacentral:rRNA from 1 species